GAUGAACGCUGGCGGCGUGCUUAACACAUGCAAGUCGAACGAAGCAUUUGCGACAGAUUUUUUCGGAAUGAAGUUGCUUAUGACUGUGUGGCGGACGGGUGAGUAACGCGUGGGUAACCUGCCUUGUACUGGGGGAUAGCAGCUGGAAACGGCUGGUAAUACCGCAUAAGCGCACAAUGUUGCAUGACAUGGUGUGAAAAACUCCGGUGGUAUAAGAUGGACCCGCGUCGGAUUAGCUAGUUGGUGAGAUAACAGCCCACCAAGGCGACGAUCAGUAGCCGACCUGAGAGGGUGACCGGCCACAUUGAGACUGAGCCCCGGCCCAGACUCCUACGGGCGGCAGCAGUGGUGACUAUUGCACAAUGGAGGAAACUCUGCUGCAGCGCCGCCGCGUGAGUGACGAAGGAGUUCGUUAUGUCAAUCUCUAUCAGCAGGGAAGAUAGUGACGUUACCGGACUAAGAAGCCCCGGCUAAUUACGU
rnacentral:rRNA from 1 species